CCAGAGGGAGACUAUGUGAGAGAGAUUAAGAUGGGAGAAUCUUCAAGAUGUCAGCAGUGUAUACAAAGAGGAAAUCAGGGCGAUUCCUGGUUUUCUGGCAUGACUGACUGAGUGGAUGAUGGUGAUUGAGAAUCUAGGAACCAGGUUUCCAACAAAAGAUGGCAGCCAAUUUUGAGAACGGAUGUAUGACAAAGCCACCCCAUCUGCAGUGAAUAUUCUCUCCAUUUUGUUUGACCUGUUGUGAUGGCGGAGGGGUGGAGGGAGAAGGAGGUUUGUUCACAGUCUGUCCCAGGCAUCAUCAAAGAGGAGAGAGAGAUGGAACGCAUGUGUGACUACUUUGGUUUGCCCAGGUGGCCUCCGGAGAGGAUUAGCACUAGGAGAAGUCAGGAAAGGAAGAGAUGCUGCAGCCGACCCCAGUAUGAUAAAGAGAGGCUGUCUUCAUCUCCAUUCCUCCAUUCUGCAUAUUUCAAAAUGACAACAAAGGAAACAAUUUACAGUUGGCUCCAGAUCCCCCUGGCUCUGGAACUCUUUCUGUCACAUCAGAAAGAGAUGAAAAAGAGACCUCCUUCUCCAUGAACAACUCUGAGCCACAUAAAUAUUGUUCCAUCCCACUUACGGCAGUUUCUGUUGCUGGUCUUUGUUCACUGACACUGGAAUCCUGGCAGCUCGGUCCCUCCUCUGUUUCUAUAUAUACAGAUCGGAGCCCCUGAAACUCUCCUGGGGUGGAGUGAACUGUGAAGCACAGAGACCUAGGAAGGGUCCCGUUGUUGCACUUUGAUGCUAUCUCGUGAUGUCUCCACUGUAACUUGCAUCAUUCUGCAGUGAUAAAGUGUCAUCUUAGCUUGAGAUCAUCGGAGAGCCUUACGCAGCAUUGCCUUAUUGCCUGAUGUGGCUGUUUCCUUCUCCCUGCCUGACAAAGAGAGAGGUUCUCAGACACUGGGAGAAACUUGUUAAAAUCCUCAGUUCUGGGGGCUGGCCCCGUGGUUGAGUGGUUAAGUUCGCGCGCUCUGCUGCAGGCGGCCCAGUGUUUCGUUGGUUCGAAUCCUGGGCGCGGACAUGGCACAGCUCAUCAAACCACGCUGAGGCAGCGUCCCACAUACCACAACUAGAAGGACCCACAAUGAAGAAUAUACAACUAUGUACCGGAGGGGCUUUGGGAAGAAAAAGGAAAAAAUAAAAAUCUUUAAAAAAAAAAAAAUCCUCA
rnacentral:lncRNA from 1 species